rnacentral:rRNA from 1 species
UACAUGGGGUGCAAACGUUGCUCGGAAUCAUUGGGCGUAAAGCGCGCGUAGGCGGUUACUUAAGUUGGAUGUGAAAGCCCUCGGCUUAACUGAGGAAGUGCAUCCAAAACUGAGUAGCUAGAGUACGAAAGAGGGUCGCGGAAUUCCCGGUGUAGAGGUGAAAUUCGCAGAUAUCAGGAGGAACACCGAUGGCGAAGGCAGGUCUCUGGGCAUUAACUGACGCUGAGGAGCGAAAGCAUGGGGAGCGAACAGG